rnacentral:lncRNA from 1 species
CCACCUUUCAUUGACCGGACCCUCCUCCGUGCUCGUGAUCCACCUCAGCCUCAGUUUCCCCAUGUCGAGUACCAGCCACCUCCCACUCUCAAGGUAACUCCAGAAAACACCCCUAUAUCUGAAGCUGUUCCUGAAACCAGCGUGUCCAUCUUCAAAUUAACCCGUGAUCAAAUCAAUACCCUCAAAGCGAAGUCCAAGGAAGAUGGAAAUACCGUUAACUACAGCUCCUACGAGAUGUUGGCAGGACAUGUGUGGCGCUCCACGUGCAUGGCACGAGGACUCGCUCAUGAUCAAGAAACCAAAUUGUACAUAGCAACAGAUGGACGUUCCAGGCUUCGGCCCUCUCUCCCACCAGGCUAUUUCGGUAAUGUGAUAUUUACUACCACUCCUAUUGCAGU